UACGUAGGUGGCGAGCGUUGUCCGGAUUUACUGGGCGUAAAGGGAGCGUAGGCGGACUUUUAAGUGAGAUGUGAAAUACCCGGGCUCAACUUGGGUGCUGCAUUUCAAACUGGAAGUCUAGAGUGCAGGAGAGGAGAAUGGAAUUCCUAGUGUAGCGGUGAAAUGCGUAGAGAUUAGGAAGAACACCAGUGGCGAAGGCGAUUCUCUGGACUGUAACUGACACUGAGGCACGAAAGCGUGGGGAGCAAACAGGAUUAGAUACCCCGGUA
rnacentral:rRNA from 1 species